GUCACUUCCAGGCGUGGUGGAGCAGUGUUGCGUGUAUAUUCGCAUGACAAUUCGCGCUCGUCAGUGAGUGAGUGAGUGAGUGAGUGAGUGAGUGAGUGAGUGAGUGAGUGAGUGAGUGAGUGAGUGAGUGAGUGAGUGAGUGAGUGAGUGAGUGAGUGAGUGAGUGAGUGAGUGAGUGAGUGAGUGCAGUCACGCAACGUGUUGGUGAGAGUGGUGCUGAAAAUGGCCGUGCAUAGCUCCGCCGUAGAGUUUGCCGAUCCUCGCGAGAGAUAGCUCCGCGUGUCGCGAGCGGAACGCAUAGAAUCGCACGCGCGUGUUCCGUAAAUAGUGCGUGAUUCUCUCUUUUCUCGAUGGACGGAUUUCGCGAAACGAGACCCGCGACGUCAACCAGAUAGCGGCUACAUUCCGGUGGAUUUUGCAGCGCGGUGGGGAGGAGGAAAGCGGUGUGUCGUGUCCAAGAUCUCCAGGCUAAUCGCUUUAUCGCGCGAAAGAGAACGCUUGAUUGCAAUAUAUGUUGCAUAUACAAUUAUUGAAGAGCAAUGGAUCGCAUUCGUCUUAUCUAUGCUCAAAGCAGUUUGCACCUAACAAUAAUCAAUUAAGAAGUGUGGUGGUUUAGAAUUUACAAAAAUGCGGGAGUGGUGCGGCACGGUCCCCUGGUAUCCAGCAGGGAUCUGAAACAAAAUAUCUGUGCUGAAAGAACUCUUGAUAUAAUAAAUAUUAAAAUAAUGUGGACUGUAUAAAGUAAUACAUUGUUUUAAAUGUACUGCUUAUUACAAUGCUGAUAAAAUAAUGGUUACUGAGCUCUUUUGAACAUUGAGCAAAGUAACAUUUUAUGAAUUUAAUACACAAUUGCUAAUAGCUACAUUUUGUACAGUCAAAGAGUAUUUUGCGUGUUUAAAUUCUAAUAAUAAAAGUUCAGUUGUUGAGUGUAUGUGCAAAUAUAUCAAACUGUAACUGCCAAAAUGUCAUUCUUAUCGAAUCUGAAGAAAGCAUUCCACUUUGGUGGUAAUGAUGCAAAGAAGAAGAAGUUGUAUAAUAAUAUUAAAAUGGAUUGUAAUCCGGAAGAGUUUUGGGAAAUGGUGGGUGAAUUAGGCGAUGGUGCAUUUGGUAAAGUUUAUAAGGCACAGCACAGGCAGACCAACCAGCUUGCUGCUGCAAAAAUGUGCGCAUUAGAGGGAGAAGAUGAUCUUAGUGAUUUUAUGAUUGAGAUAGAUAUUUUAUCAGAAUGCAAACAUCCUAAUAUUGUUGAAUUACACGAAGCCUAUUUCAUUGAGGGAAAAUUAUGGAUGUUAAUCGAAUAUUGUGAUGGUGGUGCUGUGGAUUCCAUAAUGGUUGAGCUGGAAAAAGCUCUAACUGAAAUGCAAAUAGCGUACAUUUGUCAGCACAUGACUAAAGGUCUGGCUUUCCUACACAAAUCCAAAGUUAUACACAGGGAUUUAAAGGCAGGAAAUGUUUUAUUGACUAUGGCAGGAGGUGUUAAAUUAGCUGAUUUUGGAGUAUCUGCAAAGAACAAGCAUACUUUACAGAAGCAUGAUACAUUUAUUGGUACUCCUUAUUGGAUGGCACCCGAAGUUGUUUUAUGUGAAACAUUUAGAGAUAAUCCCUAUGAUUUUAAAGUAGACAUCUGGUCUCUUGGUAUAACUCUGAUAGAGUUUGCACAAAUGGAGCCACCGAACCACGAAAUGUCGCCGAUGCGAGUACUACUUAAAAUACAAAAAAGCGAUCCGCCGAAAUUGGAUCAACCCGGGAAAUGGAGUAAGGAAUUUAAUGAUUUUAUUGCUAAAGCACUUAUAAAGGAUCCAACCUCACGACCUACAGCUGACGAUUUGUUAAAACAUCCGUUUAUAAGUCGAAAUCUAGAUUCAAAGCCUAUCAAGGAUUUGUUACUUGAAUAUAAGGCGGAUGUUGUUGAAGAGGAGCUCGUAGACGAGGAAGCAGAGGAGCAGCGCACGUCUCAGCUUCCUCUGGAGCUGGAUCAAAUCACAGAUGACUCCGCUCCUACGCGCCUUGAUGCUGAAAUUAAGAUCGCUGACAAAGAAAAUCUCGUGGCAUUGCCUGCGCCUAUAAAGAAAGAAGAAAGUAAUAAGCGUGAGAUCAACCGUGAUGGUGAGAAGGAGGAUAAAAAUAAGAGAUUACGUAAGGCUGAAUCCAAAGAGAACAUACAGCCUCCACCUGCUGAGAAAAAGCAGGCACCUAAGCCGCCAAACGAAACAAGUGAGCGUAGAUUAUCUCGAGAUAAAGGGCCGGCGCCUCCCCCACCACCUAUGCGUCAAGAUAGUGAAGAAAAGAAGAAAAAGGACGUCGAAGAGAAAGAGAAUAUUUCGAAAGAUGUCGAAAAGAUCGUGAAUCGAAUGGAUAAACAGAAAUCUGCCGAAGACAAAUCGCAAAUUAAUAAGUUAUCACAAAAUGAAAAGACGGUGGAUCAGCAAGUGACAAACAUUAAAGAACAAAGAAACUUGGAAACUGAAGAUCGGAUGCAAAAUGAAUUGGAUGGUUCCGGGAAAAUAAAGAAAGCUGAAAAUGAAGAUAAUGUUAAACUGUUCGAUAAUAUAAGAAGAUUUGAAAAUCAACAGAAGUUAAUAAACAGCAAAUCGAGUCCAGCUUUGAAAAAGCAAAUGGGAGUAAAUGAGAAACGCAAAUCGGCACCUGUAAAGCCAGAAAUGAUUGAAGAUUUGUCGAAAAUAAUAUACAAGCAAUCAUCUUUAGAAAAUAAGGAUAGGAUGAAAAAUAAAUUAUUAUCCGUUGAUGAUGUAACGAAUUAUAAUCUGCAAUCUCAAGAGAAAGAUGAUUAUAAGAGUUUGGAAGAAAAACGGAAAUCCGUCGGAGAGAAACUGAACGCUGUAUUGGAGAAGCGAUUGUCUAUGGAUACUGGAAAAAGAAUAAGCGAUGGUUCUAUGGAAACUUUGAAGCGUACAUCUACCGUCACAUCAACAGUUUUAUUAGAGAAGAAUAACGUUAAGGCUAAUUCUAUAGAAGAUAUUAAGACACAGUUUGGCCUAAUAAAGACUGAGAGUGCGACUGUGAAAAGUCGCAGCGCGGGAUCGUCCAGAAACGAUUCUAUGGAAAGCUUCUCGGACGAAUUACACGUUAAAGUGGAUGAUAAUAGCACAGAACACGGGCGAAAAGACGCAGUGAGCGACGGUGAGAAACAAGAUUCGGGAAUUAACGUGUCGGUAAUUACGUCGACGCCGCUGAAAAGUAGAAGCGGUUCGAGAAGAAGUAGCGGAGACAAUAUAGUCGUUAUUACUGGAAAAAAUCAACCCGAACAAGAAGUACGCUUAAACACUUCGACUGUCCAUAUUACUGCCGACUCGCCGGACAUGUCGAAUAGCCUUGCGAGUAAUAUAAGUCAAGUUACCGUUGUGACGACCCAUCCGCCGGUGUUAGUGGACGCACCAACGACGACAUCAACGACGAUGACAACGACGACACCUCUUCCGCGUCGCACUUCGCCAACGUCGGAAGUCAUUAUCGUUGCCAACGAAAUGAACAAGACUCAGGUGAAUGACAAUUCGAUCGUCGAUGAUGACGCAUUUCCUAGUCUGGAUAGUCUGGAAUAUACGCCACAAGAACAGCCUAUCGUACUUACCGACGUGUCCAAGAGGAUUGGUAAAAAGUUGGACGAGUCAGAAGUGAUUAUAGUGAGCCCAAUUGUGGACGAAUUGCAAGAUACCAGUCACGUCUCCGUAGUUACGGUGGGCGAUGAUAAGGAACAAGUGAAGGAUUCUUCGAUAUCCAAGAAGCAUAACGUUGUUCGUACCGGUUCUUCUCACAGUGAUUUGAGUUUGAAUGAGAGAUCGAGUUUGAAGAGUGACAGCGGAGACGAGAGCGGCAAAGUGAUGGUCGCCGGUAUUAUAGAACCUCCGGAAGAUGACUACGAGAGAAAUGGAGCGAAAAAGAUGAACGGAUUGAUCAAAAAUGAGAUCAUACCGCAUCACGCCGACGAUAGAAUCGUGAAGACAGUCAAGCCAAAGGAGAUCAAUGUCAAGAGUUUUGGCAAGGAAAAACGAGUUUCUCCGGAUAGCUUCGAAGGUUCCAGGUCUCAGAGCGAUUCCAGUUCUAUAAGAUCGCACACCCCGAGCAAGAGUAUUGAUCGUUCCGACGCCGAAUCCAUCUCGACGACGAUCAGUCAGGAUAGCAGAGAAUCGAACAAGGAAAAUCGCUUGAAUCAAGCUCAGCACACGGAAGCCGAUGAGGAAGUUGUUCUGCGUCGUAAGCCCGAUUACAAUCGCGAAAUAUCUCGACCGACCAGAACAAAGGAGGAUAUACAGAUGAUGAAUCUGAAAAAGAAGACGAGAAAACGGACGAGAAAGUUCGAGAUUGACGGUGUCGUGAUGACAACAACGACUUCGAAGGUGAUAUACGGCGACGAUGAAAAUGGCAAGGUAUAUGACGAUCAGAUAUUCAGGAAACAAGAGCUGAGGGAAUUGAAGAUGCUGCAAAAAAUGGAGCAGAAGCAGUUCCAGGACUUGGCACAGAAGGCUCAGUUCAACAAAGAUCAGCAGGAGAAGCGGUUUGAGCAGGAACGGCAACUGUUGGAACGUAACGCUGAAGCGGAUUUAGAAGCGCUUGCCAGACAACAAAGACAACAGAUUGAGCGGGCCGAGGCGCAGCAGGAAGUCGACCUGCGACUAGCGUCCAAGAAAAUUCGUAGCGAGCAAGAGAGAGAACUCAAGCAGUUCCGAGAAGGCCUGAAACAAGAAUUGAGAUUAUUGAAGCAAGAGAUAGACUUGAUGCCAAAGGAUAAGCGAAAGAGUGCGUUUAAGAUACGAAAGGAGAAACUUGAAGCAGAGCACGAGGAGCGAGAAAAGCUCUUCCUGGAGAAGCUCAAUGAGAGUCACGAGAUGUCGCUGAGGCGAUUGUCGGAUAGUCAUCGCGAGAAGAUCGCGUUGAUGGAACGGCAAUUCUUGCAGCAGAAGCAGCAAUUGAUGCGCGGCAGGGAAGCGGCCAUCUGGGAGCUGGAAGAACGGCAGAUACACGAGCGGCAACAAUUACUCAAGAAACAGCUCAAAGAUAUAUUCUUCCUGCAGAGACAUCAGAUGCUCAUACGACAUGAGAAAGAGCUGGAACAGAUGAAGCGAAUGAAUCAGAGGAAAGAGGAAGAGUUGAUCAAGCGGCAAACGGUGGAACGUAGAAAUCUGCCUAAGCGUAUUCGCAACGAAAUGAAGGCACGCGAGAUGAUGUUCCGCGAAUCGAUGAGGAUCUCGAUGUCGUCCGUGCUCGCGCCGGAUCCCGAUGCAGAGCGGGAGAAACUGAAAAAGUUUCAAGAGAACGAGAAGAAGAGAUACAGAGCGGAACAACAAAGAUUUGAACUGAAGCAUUCCAGACAGCUCGAGGAAGUGAGGGCCCAGAGCGAUGCCACAAUCAAGGAACUAGAGCAGUUGCAGAACGAAAAGCGAAAAAUGCUGAUGGAACACGAAACGUUAAAGUUGAAAGAACAGGAAGAGGCUUACGGCAAAGAAAUUCGUGAGUGGAAAGCGCAACUUAAACCCCGAAAGCAGAAGCUAGAAGCUGAUCUGGCGGCUGAAAUGGAAGCAUUGGAAAAGCUCUACCAAGACUAUUUGCCUUCUUCUGGUCUUCUUAGUGGUCUCUCUUUUCCCUUUUUCGACUACUCUAAAACCGUAAUUUCCGACACUUGGAAGAGAUCUCCACGCUUACCGCGCUCCACUCCCACCUCUCCUUCUUUCACUAUACCCAGGGUGUCGCUAAAAAUUAGUACUUCGGACGCAGACACUUACGCGUCGAACGGCACGCUCUCACGAAGUCAUUCUAGACCGGACUUAGUUCCGCCUUUUCGUAAAUUGUAUCCAUUCUAAAUCAUCCUCCUAAUAAUACAUUCAUGUCACAUAGGCAAAACGCUUUAAGCGUAUAUACAUGCAUGUUAUAUAUCUGCAUACAAAUCGAUGUUUCUUCUUUUUGUGUCUUUCAAAGGCAUAGAGUAACGUCUUUCAAGUGUACGCAUAUAUAGAUUUCCAAGUCUUCCCAGCUUCUGCAAAUGGCAAGCUUCAUUUCCAUAUAUUGCAUGUAUUUAAUGCAUCAGUGCAUAUGUGUGUCCUUACAUAUCCUUGGUCUAAAAUAAAAAAGUUCGUAUUUUAGCAAGGAAACAUUGUUUAAAUCAUUUACAUUUUGAAACAUAUCGCAAUUUUGUUGCAAUUUCAUUCUUAUAUAGCUUUCUUUCAAACAUUAAUAAGAUUUCCAUGUUUAUAUAACAUAUACUUUCUCUUAAAUAACCAUAGAAAAAUAAUCUUUGCUAUAUUCAUUGAUGCCUUUAAUAAUAAUGCCAUAGAUCGGCGGACAUACAAAUUAGAUGUAGUAUAUAUACAUAUUUUUUUAUGUAUGAAAUUAUACAAAAAGUUAUUAAUAUAACUUGAAAGAUAAGUAACUAUAUACGGUUUUUGUAAAAAAAACUUGUGGGAUAUAUAUAUUGGAAGAAAUCGUAUUAUAUAAUAGAGCAGAUUAAUUUAUUCUUUGUGAAUUACAAUUCCAAGAAUAAAAAAAACAAAAAAAUAUGCACAAUCAGUCAGAGAGGAUCUUAAUUUCUCGAGAUCUAUGUAGAAAGUUUGAAUGUGUGUUAGUGUUCUUAUUUUUUUCUUUCUCUUUCUAUUUUUCUUUCAUUUUCAUUUAGUGUGUAAUUUUUGAUCCAUUUAUAGUUUGUAGAAAAUCUGUUGAUAAAAGUAUUUGAAAGAAGAAAGGAGAAACACUAAUAAAUUUGUGUAUCUAAUAAUAUAUCUAUUAAAUAUACAGAUUUCAGUUAAAAUUAUUAACAUGAGGGAGUAUUUAUAAGAAUAGAAAUAAAAAGAAUAAUAAACUCGUUGUGUGUAUAUACAUUUUUAGAAUUAUGUGUGAGAAUUACAUUUGUACAUUGUAAUUUUGUCCAUGUAUUUCGAUUUAAUCGUACACAUAUAUUAUAAAUUAUAUUGUGCUUCAUUAUAAGCUUAAAUGGUAAAAAUAUGGAAAUAACAGGGUAAGUGUGUUUAUGGUUUAGAGUUAGUAAAAUAAGGUGUCAUGAGCGGUUUCCUUGAGGGGUCCCAUAACUAUGAUUGUUUAAUAGUAUAUACAAUCUAUUUUUUUUUAUUACAGUCCUCUUACUUGAAUAAUAUACAUAUAUGUGAUCCUAUAGAAAAAUCCUAAUGAAAAGUUAAAAAGAGAUUCCACAAGUUUCGGAUUCAAAGCUGUGUACAAAGUGUUAAGCCACAAGAAACUUGAAGAACAGUUUGCAUUACAACUCGAGGAGCAGGAGGCGAUUUAUGGUCCUAGUGCGAUACCGUUAUGCUUGCCGGCCGAUCUUCCCGACUUGACGCAUCAUACGACCGAGUCUACGCGUAGUUCAUUGUCUUCC